rnacentral:RNase_P_RNA from 1 species
CAGGAGAAGCGGGGGCGGGGGAAGCCCCCAGCGGCCAACCCCAGCCCCGCGGAUGCUCGUGGCCCCGCGGGGCCUUGAGACAGACUCACGGCCGGCGCGCUGAGUCCAAUGGGUGGGGUGGGGCACGGCCCCACAACCCAAUUCAGACUACUCUCCCCCGGGC